rnacentral:rRNA from 1 species
ACGGGUGAGUAAUGUCUGGGGAUCUGCCCGAUAGAGGGGGAUAACCACUGGAAACGGUGGCUAAUACCGCAUAACGUCGCAAGACCAAAGAGGGGGACCUUCGGGCCUCUCACUAUCGGAUGAACCCAGAUGGGAUUAGCUAGUAGGCGGGGUAACGGCCCACCUAGGCGACGAUCCCUAGCUGGUCUGAGAGGAUGACCAGCCACACUGGAACUGAGACACGGUCCAGACUCCUACGGGAGGCAGCAGUGGGGAAUAUUGCACAAUGGGCGCAAGCCUGAUGCAGCCAUGCCGCGUGUAUGAAGAAGGCCUUCGGGUUGUAAAGUACUUUCAGCGGGGAGGAAGGCGAUGUGGUUAAUAACCGCGUCGAUUGACGUUACCCGCAGAAGAAGCACCGGCUAACUCCGUGCCAGCAGCCGCGGUAAUACGGAGGGUGCAAGCGUUAAUCGGAAUUACUGGGCGUAAAGCGCACGCAGGCGGUCUGUUAAGUCAGAUGUGAAAUCCCCGGGCUUAACCUGGGAACUGCAUUUGAAACUGGCAGGCUUGAGUCUCGUAGAGGGGGGUAGAAUUCCAGGUGU